GGGCCCGCACAAGCGGUGGAGCAUGUGGUUUAAUUCGAUGCAACGCGAAAAACCUUACCUACUCUUGACAUACUUGGAAGCUCUUGUAAUGAGAGUGUGCCUUUUGGAACCAAGAUACAGGUGCUGCAUGGCUGUCGUCAGCUCGUGUCGUGAGAUGUUCCGUUAAGUCGGAUAACGAGCGCAACCCUUACCCUUAUUUGCCAGCGAUUCGGUCGGGAACUAUAAGGGGACUGCCGGUGAUAAACCGGAGGAAGGUGAGGACGACGUCAAGUCAUCAUGGCCCUUACGAGUAGGGCUACACACGUGCUACAAUGGGGAAUACAGACGGACGCUAAGCCGCGAGGUGGUGCUAAUCCCAUAAAACGUUUCGUAGUCCGGAUCGCAGUCUGCAACUCGACUGCGUGAAGUCGGAAUC
rnacentral:rRNA from 1 species